GAUGAACGCUAGCGGCAGGCUUAAUACAUGCAAGUCGAGCGAAUCAAUGGGAGCUUGCUCCCUGAGAUUAGCGGCGGACGGGUGAGUAACACGUGGGUAACCUGCCUGUAAGACUGGGAUAACUUCGGGAAACCGGAGCUAAUACCGGAUACGUUCUUUUCUCGCAUGAGAAGAGAUGGAAAGAUGGUUUCGGCUAUCACUUACAGAUGGACCCGCGGCGCAUUAGCUAGUUGGUGAGGUAACGGCUCACCAAGGCGACGAUGCGUAGCCGACCUGAGAGGGUGAUCGGCCACCCUGGGACUGAGACACGGCCCAGACUCCUACGGUAGGCAGCAGUAGGGAAUCUUCCGCAAUGGACGAAAGUCUGACGGAGCAACGCCGCGUGAGCGAAGAAGGCCUUCGGGUCGUAAAGCUCUGUUGUUAGGGAAGAACAAGUACGAGAGUAACUGCUCGUACCUUGACGGUACCUAACCAGAAAGCCACGGCUAACUACGUGCCAGCCGCCGCGGUAAUAC
rnacentral:rRNA from 1 species